rnacentral:lncRNA from 1 species
AUAAAAAUAUUUGAGUAAAAAUAAAUAUUUAAAUAAAUCUACCAUAAUAAUAAGGACAAAAAAAUAUAAAAUUCUAAUUAAUACGCCUAAGAUGUGAUCGUUUUUUAUAUAUAUAGCACGUGGACACGGGCAAUUACUAAUACUAUAAAAUACAACUCAUUUUGAAUCUCAAAUUUAUCUUCCACUAUCUACGAUUAAAAUCCAUUUGAGUGAAUCCAACCGGUUUGAGAUUUCACCAUGAAAUUAUUUUUUUUUCUCCCAAAAACUUUCAUUUCCUUUUUCUCAAAAGGUUGUGGGACCCAUAUAGGUCUAUCUUCAAUGGACACAAAAAUCUCUAAAUCUGGGCAUAUAUUUUUACCCAUGGAUCAUUUUUGUGGGACCCAGCAAUAAAAACAUUAUACACAUUCUUUCUCUCAUUUUAGAUUAUCUAAUAUUUUUUUACUAUUUGAUCAAUUUUUUAUUUUAUUUUAGUUAUUUUGACUAUUAGAGUCUAAAAAUAUAAAAAAAUUAUUUAAUUUGGAGGUAAAAAUAAUUUUGUUUUUAUUUUUAAUAAUUUUUUUCUUAAAUUAGAUAAUUUUUUAUAUUUUUAGAAUCUUUCACCAAGAAAAAUCAAAAAAUAUAACUAUUGAUUAAUCGGUGAAAAAAAUUCAUUAAAAACAAUAAAAUUUAAAAAAUAAAGCAGAUAAAAAAAUUACUCAAAUAGAAAGGGAAGUGAUUUUCAUAUGUCCAUUUUUUUUAAUUGCAUUUUUUUUAUAUUUGUUGAAAUCUAAAUUUAUUUAAUGGGUGUAAUAAAAAUAUUUGAAGUAAAAAUAAAAUUUGUAAAUAAAUCUACCAUAAAAAAGGACAAAAAAAAAUAAAAUUCUAAUUAAAACGCGGCCUAAGAUUGAUCGUUUUUUAUAUCUAUGCACGUGGACACGGGCAAUUUACUAAUAAUAUUAAAAAUAACAACUCAUUUUGAAUCUUCAAAUUAUCUUCCACUAUCUACGAUUAAAAUCCAUUUGAGUUUGAUCCAACGGUUGAGAUUUCACAUGAAAAUUUUCCUCACUAUAUUUUCCUCCUAAAACUAUCACUUCCUUCUUUUCAUAGGCAUGAGUCAUACAUAUGUUGUGAUUCAAUGGACAAAACUAGAUCAUUUUUUAGUGGGAUUAACAAAAAAAAAUUAAAACACAUCUUUUUUUUUUCCAUUUUCGAUUUUUUUUAUUUAAUAAAUUUUUAUUUUUAAAUUAAACUUUUAUAUUAUUUUAGUAUUUUUGACGAUAAUAGUCUAAAAAUAUAAAAAAAAAUAUUUAAUUUUGAGAUAAAAAUAUUUAAUUUUUAUUUUUAGUAAAUUUUCUCUUAAAUUAUAUAAUUUUUUUAUGUUUCGACUCUUUUUAUCAAGAUAAACCGAAAAAGUAUAAAAUAUUAAUUAAUUAAUAAAAAAAAAUUAUUAAAGACAAUAAAUGUUGUACAAAAAUAUAUCUAUAAUAUAAGAUAUAAAGUUUUUUAAAUUUAAAAACUAUAUCUCCCACUACCUGCUAUUAAAAUUCAUUUGAAUUAAUUCAAUAACUGAGAUUUCAUCUGAGACUAUUUUUUUUCUAGCAAAACAUAUCACUUUUUCUUCUCAAAGGUGUGAGAAGAUACAUAUAUUGUGAUCCCAUGGACAAAAAACCUCUAAAGAUUAACAUGUGUUUUACCUACUUGAUUAUUUUUUAGUGGGACCCACACACCAAAAAAACUAAAACACCCAAUUUCUUUCCUUCUCAUUUCUCAUAAAUUAGCAAUACUUUUUUUAAAUCAUUAUACUUUCUAAUUUGUUUUCCAUUUCAUAGUCAUGUAUCUCUUCGUAUAUACAUUCAAUAUAUCUUUUAUUUAACGUUUAUAUCUUAUCUGUUCUUUAGCUUGUCAAACUCUAACGAAUACGCCUAAGAGAUAAUUUUUUUUUUACGUAGUAUCCGUGAGUACUGGCAAUUACUAAUAAAUAAAUAAAUAACCAAGGGGAGAUAUUUUGAAGCUAUUGGAUCACUUUAGAGCCUAUCAUUUCGGUGGCAAAACAUCCCUAAAAAUGAAAUGUUUAAUAACAAAACACACAUGCACCACCGUGGGAGCACUGGGAGGGUUAAAUGUCAAAUAUUGUCAAAAGCGUAAAAAGGAAGGUCGUUGAAUCAUCGAGUAAAAUGUUAAAUCAAGUCAUAAGUAUCGGGCCUCAAUAUGGUCAGACAUAACAUCUGACUUCUGCUUUAAUAGCCGAAUAGCUUGUCCUAUUUGAAUGCUAGGAAAACUCUUCAAUUGGAGUACAAUAGAAAUGUAGCAAGAAGAAUAAAAAGGAACUGUAUGUAGAUUCAUUGCUACAUGGAACAUGAAAAGGAAUUAAACCUGCCGCAAUACCUUAAAGCCCUUCAUGUGGUUUUUUCAAGCUUUCUCAAACAUGGCCAUACAGAACUAAUAACUCCACAAAAAGCGAAACAGCAUAAUGGUUUUUCCAGUAUCAAUCCAUACAGAAGGAAAUGUUUCUGUAAAUAGCUGAUUUAGGAAGUAUUCAAUCAUUUAAGACAAAGGUUUUAAAUAGCAUUUGCCUUUGCCAUAACGGUAACGGUAAUGUUGGCCGCGACUUGGCUGCGGCAUGUAACAGAUGUAGCACAACGGUUGCGGUAGCCAGAGCCAGGAACAGAACAAGGAUUUCUUCUCUGGAGGGACCAAGACAACUAAAAAACUACUAGUUAAUACAAUAUAACGCACUCCACUUCAAGGAGAGGGGACAAAACCCUAAGAUUCAAUACCAAAAAUCAAGUGCCCAAAGCAAAAUAUGAAGUCCUGACUUUUAUCUAAAAACUAUCUAAUAUAUGUUUGUACAUGAAAUUGAAGACAAACAAAAUAAAAGGCUACAAAGUUAAGAAAAUAAUAAACAUAGAAACUAGAACUCUGAUAAGCCAAAGAAAUUACCCGACAACACCAUUUUCCUGCUCAAAUGAAAUCCCAGUAUCAAAAAUGAAAGCCUAUUAUAACGGUUAAAGAGAAGAUGAGCCAUAAGAGGCGACAGAAUAUGGUAGGUUUCAACUUUUGCUGAAGGUACAGCUUCUAUAGUAACCUCAGGUGAUGGGGCAUUUCUAAAUAAACCCCUUUCAUAUUUUCAAACCUCCAUUUAUAAAACACAAUCCAAUCUAUAGAGGAGGGAGAUGCAAAAAGAAAUAAAGUGGUUAUGUCUAAAAUAACUACAUGAAGUGGGUUGGGGAUGGCUUCUCCAACCAAGGGUUCAUGUCUCUUGGAGCGGAAGACUACACUUUGUAGCAGAAGCGUUCACAUGGGGAGGGGACAUGGCCACCCACGGUCUUCUCCUACGCCCAUCUCUGACACAACUAUGGAUUUUUUGUGGUCUUGUAAAAACUUCACAAUAACUUACUGAUGCACAAAUUUAUUUUAGAAUCACAUUUGUUUAGGUUUACAAUAAUUUUGGGUGAGUUUUGUGUAUUUUUAAUCAUGGUCAUGUACUAAAUUUUAUAAUAUUUUUAAGUCACUACGAAUGGGAGUUUUACUUAUUUCUUCAAUAGUCAAUAAUUUCAUGCAUCAUAAUAUUAUACCCCACAUAUAUUGGGAACUACUUAUACCCCAAUAUAUAUAAGGAACUACUCCUAUCUUCUUCUCCUACUUCUUUUUCCUCAUCUUUUUUCGUUCUUCAGCAACCCACCUAUCAAUACCCGCAUUCAACAACUUUUCUAACAUAUAUC